UGCCCCAGAGAAUAUCCUUUCAAUAAUUCUGUUUGACGAAGCUAAACAUAAAUAAGAAAGUACAAAGUUAGUUACAAACAUGCUCCAUAAAGGUAGUACUUUUGGGAAAUUUAUUUUUAGUAGUUACAAGCUAAAACAUAAUCAUCUUCCACAACAGGAGUAGUUAAAAUUUUACUUAUGCAUCAUUUAUACUUAAAAAAAAAUAAGAAUAUGAGGUGGCUUAAUCAACAAAUCAAUAAAUCAUUUAAAAAAAGAACAAGAAAAUGGAUGUGCCUGACAGCUAGGAUAUAUUUAUAUAAUUGAACACCAAGUUAGUUUUGGACAUCCUGACAACUAAGACAAAAAUGUAUUGGUUGUUUUAUCGAAUAAGACAACUUUUCCUCUAAAACAAGACAAAUCUUAUCCUAGCAUUCAUUUCAAGGAGGAACUGAUCAUCAGCUCCUAAUAUAAGGGAUGUUGAAUAAACAAAGGAGAUUGUUUUUAAGUAGAAUUUUACAAAAUAUACCAAAAGAUACUAUAAACAUAUAUUUCUUAAAUUCUCAUUCUAUAAAAGUCCAGGGUACAACAUGGCUUAAUGUAUAAUUUUUAGAAAUUCCAUCAGUUUUACUCGAAGAGAGAGACAAGUGUAUCUUGAGAAAGUAUGUUGCUUUUGAUAAUAGAUCCUGGAGUCUAGAGUAGCAUACCUCAUUGUGGGUUCAAAAAACCCCCAAAACAUUAGUUUUUAAAAAAGUAGAUGACAAUGGAUAUCAGACCUAGGGAUAUGGUAAGGACAUAUCUCUUCUUUUAACAAGUGCCCCAGACAAUGGCAUGCACACUAAAAUUUCAGAACCAAGGAUAAGGUCAUUAGAGAGCUAGCAGCUAGCAGCAGCUAGCAUAAACUUAGGUACAAUUAGCAUAAAGGUAAAUUAGUUUGGCUAAAGAAUGUUGAGACUAUGGGUGUCAGUACAGUCAUGUCUGGCCACGUACUGAAGCUUAUAUAAGGACCCUCUAGACUUGUUGAGCAUUGGUUUAUGCGGUUAAUAAUUUGAACUAGAUAGAACAAAAGAGGGCUGUAUAGGAAAGGCAAGAAUAUUUAAUUCCAAAGCUAAAGUAUUUUUUGAAAGUCUAUUUUUUUUUUUUUUUUUAGAUUUGGAAGAUUUAGCUCUCUAAAACUGAAGAUCAUGUUGUCCCAUUAAGAACAGGAUAAGAGGCUUGAAUAAUCCGGCAUGAAGAUUAUCUCGGUAAAAGGCUCCCACUAGUGGCCCUUCCCAACCCCGCUCCAUCUCACCCCUCAAGCCUCAUCACUGGUCACUCUCUGUGGAGCCUUUGGCCACUUAAGACUGUCCUGUAGUUCCUGAAGGUGACACUUUCAUGCUUCUGGGCCUUGCUUAUGCUGCUUCCUUUAUCUGCCCUUUUUUUCUAAUUUCUAUCUUGGUAAACUCCUGAUAUCUCCAAGGUCAAGAUCACAUGCCAGUCCUUCUGUGGUCUUCUUUGCAUAGUUAUACUUUUCUGUGGAAUUUUUCAAGUCAGGUGUGGCAGUGCA